rnacentral:rRNA from 1 species
CAAAUUUAAAAUCUACCUGGUUUUCCAGGUCGAGUUGUAAUUUGAAGAUACGUUUUUGACGUUCCGGGUUGAACUAAAUCCUUUGGGAUAAGGUAUCAUGGAGGGUGAGAAUCCCGUAUAUACCAACCRYAGGGAUGUUAUUUAAUACSUUUCUAAGARUCGAGUUGUUUGGGAAUGCMGCYCYAAAUGGGUGGUAAAUUUCACCYAAUGCUAAAUAUAAGCGAGAGACCGAUAGYGAACAAGUACMGUGAUGGAAAGAUGAAAAGAACUUUGAAAAGAGAGUUAAAUAGUACGUGAAAUUGUUGAAAGGGAAACGAUUGAAGUCNGUCNUGCCCGUGGGAAUCAACUUWGAGGAAACUCUGAGUGCACUUCUUCSCUUGGCAGGUCAACGUYGAUUUUGGAUGUCAUAAAAUGAUUGGGGGAAGGWAGCYCYYUCGGGAGUGUUAUAGCCCUUGGUAGAUGUGAUGUCUGGGAUCGAGGAUUGCAAUGGAUACCCUUUGGGGCUAGCCGCCUGAUCUCUAAUYGGUAUUGGGUUACGGAUAGCAUGCUGACCGUGAUCUAAUUAUUGGUUAAA